UUUAAGUUUUAGCUUUGCAAUCAUACUUCCCCCAAAAUCCCAAAGGCUUUGGUUUCCCUAAAACUGCUCGCCGAGUCAUCGAAGAAACUUCAACGAAUCGUCAGCUGGCAUCGUCUAUGGUUAGGACUAGGAAGGUAUCUGAUCGCCUUUGAAAAUCUCACUCUUAUUCUUGACUAAAAAAAAACAUUUUUGGCAAAUGCUUUGGCUUCUGUCCGUCAUGUGACGAUCCAUGAAUUUCGACUCUGACGUCGCAAUAUGAAUGCCGCUAUCUGUCCCUAUCGAUCACAACUUUGGGGUUCCGAAAACCAACAAAAUAGCAACAAGGUCGUAUUCCAUUAUUCCAUGCAUACAG
rnacentral:lncRNA from 1 species